rnacentral:rRNA from 1 species
AGAGUUUGAUCCUGGCUCAGGAUGAAUGCUGGCGGCGUGGAUAAGGCAUGCAAGUCAAGGGGGCCCGCAAGGGCAACCGGCAGACGAGGUAGUAACACGUAGGUACUCCCCUCGAAGUCUGGAAUAGCUCGUCGAAAGACGGGGUAAUACCGGAUGGUCUCGAGAGAGUAAAGAUUUAUCGCUUCGAGAGAGGCCUGCGUAAUAUCAGCUUGUUGGUGAGGUAACGGCUCACCAAGGCUACGACGUUUAGGGGAACUGAGAGGUUGACCCCCACCGAUGGGACUGAGACACGGCCCAUACUCCUACGGGAGGCUGCAGUCAAGAAACUUCCGCAAUGGGCGAAAGCCUGACGGAGCGACGCCGCGUGCUGGAUGAAGUGCUUCGGUACGUAAACAGCUUUUAUGUGGGACGAAAUUAUUGACGGUACCACAUGAAUAAGGGGCUCCUAACUCUGUGCCAGCAGGAGCGGUAAUACAGAGGCCCCAAGCAUUAUCCGGAAUCACUGGGCGUAAAGGGUGUCGAGGCGGUCGUAUUAGUCGUUUGUAAAAUCCGUGGGCUCAACCUACGGUUCGCAAGCGAAACGGUACGACUUGAGGUUGGGAGAGGUGUGUGGAACUCACGGUGUAGGGGUGAAAUCCGUUGAUAUCGUGGGGAACACCAAAGGCGAAGGCAGCACACUGGCCCAAAUCUGACGCUCACACACGAAAGCUAGGGUAGCGAACGGGAUUAGAUACCCCGGUAGU